GCUGGGCGGCGAGCUGAUCAGCCAUGCCGCGUGUGUGAAGAAGGUCUUCGGAUUGUAAAGCACUUUAAGUUGGGAGGAAGGGCAGUAAGUUAAUACCUUGCUGUUUUGACGUUACCAACAGAAUAAGCACCGGCUAACUUCGUGCCAGCAGCCGCGGUAAUAA
rnacentral:rRNA from 1 species